UUAAUAUUUUAUUAUAGAUCCUUCCAGAUUUUCUCCAUCAAUAUGAAUAUAUAAUCACUUUUAUAAAAAUUAGAUCAACAAAUAUAUUUCCAAAUCAUUAUUUUUAAUGCUUGCCUAGCAUUCUGAUGGACUCUUUAUUAUUGAACAUUCAGGUUGAUUUUUUUUUUUUUUUGGCUAUAAUAUUACUGAUAAAAACAUGCUUAUAGCUAAAUAAAUCCCUGCAACUGGAGGUGAAUCUGGUCAAAGAACAAACUAGAAAUGGAAAUGUCAGGUCAAAUGAUGUGCAUCUAUCUAUCUAUCAUCUGUAAUUGUGGUAAAAUAUACGUAACAGAAAAUUUGCCAUCUUGAUCGUUUUUAAAUGUGCACUAAAUACAUCCACACUGUUAUGCAGCUAUCACCAACAUCCAUCCAGAACCUUCUCAUCUUGCAUAACUGAAACUCGGUCUGCUGAAACACUCACUCCCCUGACCCCGCCCAGCCCCUGGGGGCCUCCACUCUACCUUCCGUCUCCAUGAGUGUGACUGCUCUUGGUCCCUCAUGUAAGUGCGAUCGCACAGAACUCGUCCUUCUGUGACUGGCUUGUUUCCCUGAGCACAGUGUCCUCAAGGUUCAUUCAUGCUUAUCAGAGUUUGCUUCCUUUUUAAGGCCCGAUGAUAUUCCAUUGUGUGUGUGGACCACAUGUUGACGAUCCGCUCAUCCUUCAGCGGACACGGGCUCUUCUACCUUUUGACUGUGGUGAAAAUUGUUGCUCUGAACAUGGCUGUAGAAGUAUCUCUUGAAUUGCUGUUUUCAGUUCUUUUGGGCAGAUGCUCAGAAGUGGAUGUACUGUGUAUCACGCGAUGCGAGAGAGGCUCUUCUGAGGACCAGGAGGUGGACUACAUUUCCCAUCUGCUGUUACAGUUAGAUGUGGCUGUGGGACUGGGUUUGAGCCAAUGGAAUACAAGCAGAGUGAUGGACGCCACUUCCAGAUCUGGCCCCCGGACACCACCAUGGUGUCCUUCCAGCCUCUUUGUCCUUUGCCUGCUGGGGGUGCAUGGUAUGGCCAGGCUCAAGGUAGGUGAAAGCAGCUGGCCUCUGAGUACUGGGGGAGCAGCAUGCCCACCCAUCAGAAAUACCUGCCUUGGACAGGUAGGAACAAGAAAUCAGCUUCUAACCUGCCAGCAUCAUUCCACAUUGUGAGGUCAGUUCUUGUGGUCCGUGAUGUGCUAACAAAAGUGAGCUUUGUGUGUCCAUCCCAGGGGCCUCUGUGGGCAGUGGCAUCCCCAAAAGCAAGGUGGUCUCUGCAGGGGGAAGAUUUCUGAUAUGGGCUCCUACAGUGUGCUUCCACAGUGGGCAGAAUCCCUUCCCUGCUGAAACGAGUCCCACUUGGCUGGCCCUGGCCAGGCCUGACCGGUAAGCCUGCUGAUGGCCAGCCCCGCUUUCUCAGCUGGCCGAAUCCGGAUUUCUGCUCCCUAAUUGUUGGCUCUGAUGCUUUCUGCUUGGGCUGUGGAGUGCUGUGGUCACCAGCCAGGCCUUGGCACUGGCCGCCUGGCCUGCCCCCUGCCCCCUUGGCCACAACCUUGAACCACCCUGAGACCCCACUCCCUCAUCACAGCUGGAACCCCUCUCUCAGACAACUGGGGUGAGGAUUCCAGGGAUGGCACUUGUUCGGGGCUCGGGACCUUGCAAGCACUCAGCAAACAGGAGGGAUUCUUGGUAGUGCUGUUACAUUAAGCCUCAAGGCAGAGCCUCAGGGAGGCCUCAGUAUCCUUCUGCUGGGACAUGUGACAUCCCUGAGAACUUGGCCUGUCAGCGGUAGACGGACCUUCAGGCAGGGCAGGUAGUGACAGGACGGAGACAGCACUGGAAGGAAUGCUUCUGGAAUGGCGAGGCAGGUCACCAGCUGUGACUGCAGUGGAACACCGGGGCGGCACUCGGGCGUGCUCAUUAUUACGGCCAUCUUCGGGGUGGAGGAGCCGGGAUUCCGAGUGGACGAGUCCGAGGAAGGGAAGGGCAGGACGGAGGUGGGGCUCGGGGUUCUUAACCCAGCUCCCGUGAGGAUGGGAUGCUGAGGAGUGUCCUGUUCUCUGCGGGGGCAGGAGGUGUGCUGCGACCUUGGGACGCAGGCCCAACGACAGACUCAGGGGACACAAAGCAGAGACCGGCUCCGAAGGGGACCUGCCGGGGAAGGCAAACAGCUCUAAGUGGCAGGCAGUUGGCCUGGCCGUUUGUGCCAGCCGUAAUCCCUGCGGGUCCAGCCCGAGCUGGUCCCCGAGCGCGUGCUGGCCCAGGCUCCACCCGCAUGCAGUGUAUCCCUUUUCUGUUUAAAGAACUAGCUUUCAAAUGUUCUUAAUAAAACGUUUGUAUAUAUCAUGCAAGGUACAAAUAAAUGUUUUAAUGUAAUUGGAAGAAUGCAGAGAAUUGUAAAAAGUUAUGGAAGUCUUACUUCUGAUCGGCCGAGACUCAAUAAACUCCGGUUUGAUGUACUCUAAUUUAUGGGCGUGCAAAGCCGACCCUUUGGCAUCGAGCAAGCCUGUUAAUGCUGUAAUGAUGUUUAAAUGCUGACAAAUGAACUGCUUGGGCCACACCUUCAACACCGAGGAAGGAAUCGUUAGAGCUGGAAGGUCUGCCUUGUGCAUGCUUUCCUUCCUUCCUCUUGGCGGCUGGGGCAGGGAAGGGGCAGAGAGGAGUGUGCAUCAGGGCCACGGGGCUUCCCGUGGGCCAAGGUGUGGGCACCCAGGGAAAGCGUGGUGUUCCUUCCUUUUCACUCUUGCCCCUAAUUAUGGACUUUCUCAUUAAAAUAACAAGGACCAUGUCAGCUAGAAAUGCCAGUGCAUGUUUUUACUUUUCUCGGCUGAUGGAAACCACAUGUAGAACCUAGCCCUUCCUUUUUUCCCUCCAAAAUGCAAAUGGGAAAGCUGGUCCAGGGGUCCACCUUGUAGCUCAGUGCAGAGCAGAGGUUCCCGGGAGCCCCUCUGCCUCCCUGCGCCAGGAUGCGGAUUGGGCUUCUCCAGGCACCCCUUGGCCUGCCCUGCUGGGGAGGCUGGCCCACGGGGUGCUGGGCUAAUUUUAACCUCCUGAUGGAUCACAUCUGGCUCCCGGUCGCCAGGUCCCCCUCUGCUCGCUGGGGCGGUGCGUUUUCCCACGGC